rnacentral:sRNA from 1 species
GCCAGGUGUGGUGGCGCACGCCUGUAAUCCCAGUGGCUGGGGAGGCUGAGGCAGGAGGAUCGUGAGUUCAAAGCCAGCCUCAGCAACUUAUUGAGACCCUAAGAAACUCAGGGGGACCCUGUCUCAA